rnacentral:rRNA from 1 species
GCAAGGUUAAGCACUUAAGGUGUGGAGCCGUAGCGAAAGCGAGUUUUAACUGAGCGUUCAGUUACUUGACGUAGACCCGAAACCGGGCGACCUACCCAUGAGCAGGAUGAAGCGAAAGUAAAAUUUCGUGGAGGUCCGAACCCACGAGCGUUGAAAAGCUCGGGGAUGACUUGUGGGUAGCGGUGAAAUUCCAAUCGAGCCCGGAGAUAGCUGGUUCUCCCCGAAUAGCUUUAGGGCUAGCCUCAAGGUGAGAGAUACGGAGGUAGAGCACUGAAUGUCCUAG